AAAGAAUUAGUUAAAAAAAUAACAUAAAUAUGUCAAAUUUAAAUUAUUAUUAUCAAUAAUAUUCUUUU
rnacentral:tRNA from 1 species